AUAUAUGAUGAGCAACGGGUCAACCGAGCAACUUCCGACGGGAAGAUGCGAUGAGGAACCGUUGGAGCGCUGAAG
rnacentral:snoRNA from 1 species